rnacentral:rRNA from 1 species
UACGGGGGUGGCGAGCGUUACUCGGAUUUAUUGGGUGUAAAGGGCAGGUAGGCGGCUAUGUAAGUUGUAGGUGAAAUCCUUUGGCUCAACCAAAGAACUGCCUUCAAAACUGCAUAGCUUGAGGAUAGAAGAGGAAAGCGGAAUUCCCGGUGUAAGGGUGAAAUCUGUAGAUAUCGGGAGGAACACCUGUGGCGAAAGCGGCUUUCUGGUCUAUCCCUGACGCUGAUCUGCGAAAGCUAGGGGAG